GAGAUGGCCGCCUCGCAGAUCGACCCGGCGACGGGGCGCGGUUGGGCCUGCAGCGGCAAAGGACUACCACGUCCAAUCUCAUAUGGAACACAGGCUUGCUCCGCCCUUGCCUCAUGUGGUUGUCUUGAUGGAAGAGUGGUACAUCCUGCAGCUUGCGCCACCACUGCGUGCCGUGCCCUCGCCAGGAGGAGCAGCUGGUAGCCCGCGUCCAUCCCAGCUUGCACGGAGCCGCCUAUAUCGCCUGCCCCUCUUCUUGGUGUGCGGUGGUUGGCUGGUCAGACGUUUUUUUUUCUUUGAUGCCUGCGAUUGCUGGCCCUGGCUCGCCUAUGUUGUGUGGGCUGAUAUGAACACCACUGGAUUCAAUGUUGAUUGAGUGGCUUGGGAAGGGGAGUAAAACCGUGGCUUGCGAGGUAAAAGGCUAGAGAAACGUUGUUGUUGAGGCUGCUCCCAGAGCAGAGAUCUUCAAUGGCGAUGUAGGGAAAUUCCAGUGCCCACACAAGUUCCUCCAUUUGGCGAUAUUAGACGAUGAUAUCAAUAUUUAUGUUACUGGGAGCGAGUGACCAAUCGGCAGAAUGUUUAGCUCAUGGAGCUAUCAUCCGAUGAUGCAGGUGGCACGCGGAAAACCAUUGUUUCAGAUUGUCCAUUGUUUCUGUAGUCCAUGGUGCUGAAGAAGUACCCUGAUGCACCCACAGUUGUGUAGAAAUGUGGAUUCGUCGAGUGGAUCUCCAUGAAAGGUCAGGGCAUGUAACAAUCAAGAGCUCUCUCACUUGUCAAAAUGAUGCUAGACAAAGGCAUGUUUUUGCUUGGGUUCACUAAUUU